UUCUUAUGUGGACUUAUCUAGAUUUUCCUACACAGAGAUUCUCCUGUGGUAUAUUUAUAUCAGAUUUCCUGUUGUAUAUUUAUAUCACCCUUUAGAGUUUCCAUUAACACCAAAACAUUCAACCUUGAGCAGUUACAGUAACUGCACAGGACCUGGAAAGGAAAGCUCUCUAUUUAUAGUUUAGUAAAUCAGAAACCUACAUGGUAACACUUGUAAUUCAACAGUGGACUUUUAAAAAUGUAAACAGAGGAAUCAAAUCUAAAAUAGCAUUGAUUUUAGUUGAAGGGAAAAUACGUAAAGAUGAUGAAGUCAAUGAAAACCUGCCUGUUCACUCUAGGUAGACCUUAUUUUUGAAAAAAAACAAAACCCCAUAUGAAAAAUUGUAUGACAUUCUUUUUCUGAUUGGAGUAUCAUACUAAUUAUUACAAUAGACAAUACUAAUUAUUGUCCUUUUUUAUUAACUAGUGUUGUUGUUAAUGCAAGUUCUCUGUCUGUCUUCAUAAUUCAGCAGCUUGUUUAGCAGAUCACUACAAAUGCUCCAGGUUUGACUCGGAGAUGUUUUCCAAACAGGGUCAUUACUGUUGGGUAUCAAGAUGCUGUCAUCUGUGCAGUGGGCUCCCAGUCUUACUCUUGUGCCCAUAUCUGUCCAUGGCUCUGGGCAGUUGUUCUUUCUUGGUUCCAGCAGAGCUGCCUGAGAGCACCACUGGGUUCUGCUCAUGGCUUUCUGGAGACUCAGAGCUGCCCAGCACCUGGAAGUACUUGUUUGCCAGCCCCCUGCUCUGCUUUGUCAGCUCUCUUCAAUCUGCCUGUGGUUUUUGGCUCAUAUUCAUCCUUAAAAGCAAGAUGAUUCCCACCAAAAAUUUUUACUGAAGCAGUUGAGGGACCACUCACAAGAUCCCUUCCUUUGCCAGAGCUGAAGCAGUGGCAAACAAACAAAUGGAGUGACAGGAGCUGGAAUGGUACAGCUGUUUGCAAAGUGAAUUUCUGUGUGUGUAUAUAUAUGCAUAUAUAGGCAUGUGCAUUUUAUGAUCUGAUAAUUUCUCCUUCAGAAGAAAAAUGGUUCACAGUCUGCAGGGAGCAGACUCACCUCUGCUAUCUAGUAAAGGGGCUGUUUAUGCCACAGUCAGUGAAAAACAACGUCCCUUUCUUUAAAGAAGAGCUCUUUGAAGCCAGUCCACCAUGACUUUGUCUUGGGUUCAGGAGUUUAUUCUGUUUCUUUAGCCCAAGACAAAGACUUCCCUGAAUGAGUCACCCGACACCCCAAUGUCGUUCUUACUGGAUGUCUGAAGAACGAAAGAGGAUUGAGUUUUUAUUUUUAACAUACCCAUUUCCUUUGGCUGCUCUGUGAGUUGAGAAACCUUCAUUUGUGAUUCCAAUGCUGUAGGGUAACAAGUUUCCUAAAAUUCUCCAAAGGCAAGAGAUUUGCAGUCAUACUUUAUUAUAUGUUUAUAACUAUACUCGGGAAAACUUUGCAUGACCCAGAAAUGUUUGCCAAUAUUUAAGGGGAUUUGCUGAACAUCGAAUGGAUCUCUCUUACCAUUUAAUGAUGAUUUUUUGCACUCCAGAUACUGCUUUUUAUCUUGGUUCUUGAAAUAAGGCAUCUUUUCUCAAGUUCACCUCUUCUGUAGUAUGCAUAAACACUUAUUUACUGUUGGAAUUACUGAUUACUGAAUGAUUAAAUUUCUGAGUUGGAUGGAUUCAGUAAUCACUCAUAACAUCAGAUUAAGUCCUGCUUUUCAUACUUUGUUCUAAGAGUAUUUGGUAUAAUUAUUUUGGCAGUACACUUAAACCUAAGUCAGUGUUACUUAACAUAUAACAUAUCCUUGAUACAUGCUGGUCCAUUAAACAAAGGAAUGUGUUCAUAACCUCUUUCACAGACAAAUUAUAGAAGUAUUUGAGUGUCUGCAUUUGAAACAUUCUUUUGCUGUAGCCCACGUAGGACACUGAGUUCUUCUGACCACACUCCCAUGUGGGAUCUGGGUAGCUGUGCUGCCAUGGUAAAUCCUGUACUUGCUUUAAGGAAUAAGCUUGAUUUUGAACUUCAACAAAUGAAAGGUGAAAUUUUUUUCCUGUGCUUACAGCCCUUAUCUUUGGCCUGCAAAAGGAGAAACAACCAAGAAAUGCUGAAAGCGGGAAAAUCUGCUGCAUUCCAAAGGUAUUACUGCUAAGAACACAAAUAUGUGAAACACAGACAAUUGAAUAGCCAAGGACACCUUUUUGUAACUCACAUAACUCCUAAUUAUUUCAAAUGUCUUUAUUUUUCUAUUAUUAGGAGCUUGACUUGUGUAAAAUAUUGUGAGAUGAAAAUAUUGUUUCUACUGAAUAACUACAGGAUGUAUAGAAUUACCUAAAAAAUAUUAUUAUUUUGAUGAAAAUGUGUACUAGCCAUAACUAUAUAUUGAGACAUGUAAGUUCUUAUCAUACAUAUAAAGAAACUUAAAUUUUUCUGGCAGAUGGGAUAUGUAAUUCUAUUUCCAUUCCUUUCCUAACAGACAUUUUCUCAUUCAGUUCAGGCACAUUGCAUUGGUGUCCUUGUCAGACUUUCACUUUCUCAAAGGUGUUUAAACAAUUCUGAUGUCAAAGGGAAUUUGUUACCUAAAAUAUCACAGAGGAUAUGGGCAUAAACUCCUCAGGAAAAAAGACAAAAAAAACCCAGGAUUAAGCACAUUUCAAUUCCACUACAUUUGGUGGCAUUUUCCCAUGUACAACUAGCAUAAUUUGGUCUGAUAGCUAUUUGCAUAGUUGCUUUAAAAAAAACUUGGGGGGGAAGAAAAAAGAAAGCAAGGAUGAGGAAAAGCAGAGAACAUGAGCAAAGAGUCCUGUAAUUCCAGAGGAAAGUGAAGUCAAUUCUUUGAGGACUGGAGAAAGCUAAAGGAGGAACAGGAAGAAUCCCUAGAUGUGGUAAAGAAAAGUUCUUACAAGACUAAAAACAAAAUUUCAAAUGUUAGCAAUUACUUUCAAGGUGUUAUCAGCCAUCGCCGGUGUGUUGUCAUGGGGAGAAAAAGGCGUUGCAGCAUCAAAGGCAACAAGGAAUGUAAUGAAGAAAGAAAUUAAAGGAGUAAUUUGCAUCUAUUUGGUGGAACAAUCUUCAGAGGCACUUUUGUUAAUUAGAAGGUUUGAGCUGCACACAUUAGAGUACUGAGAGGCUGGUGGAAGUCUCCAGACGUUUCAAGGCAGCAAUUUGUGUGGUCACAGAACAUCUCUAUAGCAUCACGAUUUAUCAGUGAAUUGAGUUAUUUUUCCUUCAUUGCUUGAAAUUUGACCCUCAGAAGGAAAAAUGACCAGCUGCUUGCAGGAGCCUGUUUCUCUGAGCAAACAUAAUACUUAAAAGCUUGUAUUUUCUUCCAGGACUUUUGAUACUUCUUCUAUCCACUGGGGUGUGACGAUGAGUAUCCCUAGUCUUAAUUGUGACUGUUUGUUCAUCUUGUAUUGUGGGUUGUAUUAAUUUCUUAUUAUAGUUUCAUGAGUAUUUAGAGGUCUAGAUAUCUGUUCUGAAAAAAGUAAAUAAAUAAAAUAUACAUAAAGGGAGAAAGAGACUAAUUCCCUGUUCCACUAAAAUUAAUGAAGACAGGACAGCAAUCAAAUUUAGCAUACUUUCUGGUAGAGUUCAAGGCUUCAGAUGUUAGUCAGGUAGACUUUUUUUAUCAUUAGCAUCUAAAAUUUCAAAUGACAGGAGAUGAGUUCUUAAAUCCAUGUAUAUUUUAUAAAUCAAGAAAAAGUCUUGAUUUAUCUAGACUUCUUUACGUAUAACAGAUUUGAAUAAAACCAAAUUUGUUAUUCUAUAGACUUUUUUUACCAAUAGACAUAUAACUUUUCAUCCUUUAUAUAGGACCUCCCUCAGUCUGAAUGCCUUUUCCUUCCUUUCUACCUCAUAUUUCCUUCAUCUGGGAUAUUCUCUGGUCCCCACAUUCUCCAUUCUCUGGCUGUGUCUCCUACUUCAGAAUCUAGCAUGUCCCUGCCCCUUUCCUGUGCACCCAGCUCUAUUCCUUUGGAGGAUAAUUGCCUGCAACCACUUCACCAACAAACAACGCUUCCCGUCCGGUCUCACAGCCUUGCUGGAGUCAAAUUGAUUCAGAGCCUAAAAUUAUCCCUGCGGUCAACUCCACUGACAUAAAUACAGGGGAUUUAACUCUGUGUUUUCCUUUCAAACACGAUUUUUAAAAAUUUCAGUCUUAUGUAUGUUUUCAAAACAUUUUCAUUGAAAAGUAUGAAAGCAAAAACUCAUUCAUUCCUUUUGAGUAAUACCUAUUCUUUGCACCCAGCAGCUGUUGCAAAUAUUAAAAUCUUUUUUUAAAAUCAAAACAAGCUCACUGCUUUCACAGCUCACUUGCUUUUCCCCUCAUUACCGAUCUUUUGCUGUAACCAUGGAUCUAUCUGUAAUGACGUCUUUUGUGUGUACUAAACUUUGUAUUGCUGAAAAAGCACUGACCAAACUUGUCUGGAAGUCUCAGAUGAAGAUUGCUUAAAGGAUGUGGCUGAAACAAAAAGGUGUUUCUACCAUUCCAUAAAUAAAUCCUCCUAAGUGUAAAUUGUGACCAUUCCUCUCUCCAUCUGAACAAUUCAGAUUUUUCAGAGAGCUGCUUUUAUGUAAGAUUAGAGAGCUGUCUCCUUGACAUGAUGCUCUGCUUCUCUUCACCAUUAGUUGGGCGUUAGUUGUUCUGGCUGUAAAUAGACAGGCACAGAUGGUACCACGACUCUCCGAGCCUCCACACAUCUUGCACUGCAAGGAUUUUUGUUAUUCUUGCUAUGUCUCUAGCAGCUCCUACUCUUUCCUAACAGUUUGUUGAGAAGAAAAAUGGAAGGCUAAAGAACAAUCAGUCCCUUUCCUCUCUAGGAUUGCUGAAGUCUUUGGACAGGACAGCAGCAUUAAUUUUUACUUUUUGUUUUUGCUAGGGGAACCCAGCCAUGGGCUCAUCAAUGAAGCAAAAAUUCUGCCAUCUUCCUUAGGUGAAGUCAGUCAUUCCCAAGACAGCUGAGAUGCCUGAGACAGACUAGAUGUCCCAAAAGCAUUAAAUUGUGAGACUCAAGUGGUACAUCCUCCCUCAGUUCCCUACAGCUCUGAUCACCACAGCUGAAGCACUAUGGCAGAUAAAAGAGAAGCUGAUAUCUCGAAAGACUGUCUCAUUGCACAGGAACAGCGUUUGCAGGAAAACAAGCUGGAACAAUUAGCAAUGCUGAAUCGGGAGAGAGCGUGGAUAAGAAGGAUGUGACAGAUUCAUACUCCCCGCUCCUCAUGUCUGUCAUGGAGAAGUCUUGGGGAAUGGAAGAAUCAGUGACAUGGUAAUGGGUGGACUGUUCACCUGCUCCUUGACAACAAUUCCUGCAUUUUCACCUAUGAAGCUACUAACAAGAAGAAAAUGGAUAAAGUUCCAGGAAAUUUGUCUCAUGAGGAUUAGACAUGCUGCCAUCUGCAAUACAGACAUUUCUAUCAGCGGAUAUGGCCAGGAAAACCUGCUGUUUGUGAGUAAUUUAUUUUAAAAAUAAGUACUGUCUCUUAAAAGUGUAACUGGAGAGUGACAUGUAGCUCUAAAACUAAUCUUCUAGUUAGAAGCAGAAAAUAACGCACAUCAGUGACUAUCUGUAAGGCAAGUAGCAUGGGCAUGAAGAGGGAUGCUCUUCCACUCCCAGCCUAAAUGCAACUUUUGAACUUCAGUUCCACAGCAGUGCUCAGACCAUUGGCUGGGACCACCAGCUGCAGAUUCUCAAAUGUCUCCUUGCGGGUCUUCAGCCAAGGUUCCAGCUCCAUUCACCUGCGCUGGAGUGUGAACCUCCCCUUUGUUCACAUGGUAGAGAGAACCCGCAAUUGCAAGGGGCCAGGGAAGGGAACAGACACUCAAUCUACUAAAAUGGGAAGGGCAAGCCAGCAUGGGUCAGAUUAAAGGUCAGGAUCAGACAGUUCCCUUAUCCCACAGGAACAACCUGGGCAGGCACUGAAGCUUUCACAUGUGCCCCUGAAUGAGGCACAGAUCUUCUGUGACAAACUGCUAACCAAGGGAGUAAAACAGAGAUUAUAAUCAGUAAAGUACAUGACUCUUCUGGUUUCUCUCUUAGCACUACGUUUUUUUUGUGCCACCAAGAGGCAUAUAAACUGACAUCAACUCCUUAAGAUACUUGCUCUAAUGACAGGGCUUUAGUCACUCCUAGCUGCACCCUUGCUUUAGCUUCAGAUGAGUUUGUUACCUUUGUAAAUACUGCUUGGGUAGUAAUGCAUUAGGCACAAACAGUAACUGCCAAUUAUCAUCUUUUCCCACAAAUCCACAAAGGGAGGAGAAUUUUGUCCCCUCUGUCAGAGACAGGCCACAAAAAGAUCACUGUUUCAGUGCCGGCACAACUGAGAGGGCAAGAAUUCUGUGGCCAGGAGGCUGAGGGCAGAACUAGAGAAGAAAUCUCUUAUAAAGGCAAGAAAAAGUUCAACUACUUACAGUUUGUGAAAAUGGUAAGCAAACAGUUCAACACUUAAUGCCCUAAUUCUACUGAUUGAGUCAUAAGUCUUAGUGUGACAAAUGAAUGAAAGCCUUUUUAUGCAGAAAUGCCCAGUAUCUGGCUGGUCUGAAGGAAACAACCAGAGAGGUGUUUUAAGGUUCUUGUCUGAUUUUAAGGCAGGGCCAACCUUUUCUCUAAAAAUUAUGGCUUUUUAAUAGGGCACCACUUAACAUCUGGCAAUUUGUACUUCUAGAUCAGAGAAUUAAUAAAUACUGGCACUGAAAACAGAGAAAAUGUCUUCCCAUGCCCAUACAUCUCCCUGUCCUAUUGACAAAAGCUUAAGGACAGUCCAUUGUCCACCCUCAGUCAGUGGUCAGAGUGAUAUUUCUGGAGGCUUGUGCUACACAAAAUCCAUGGAAGAAAAACAAUCCUCUUGUCUUAGCUAAUGGGAGAACACAAUGUAAAGCACUGCCCUGCUUUCUGAGAGCAGGACACAUACCAGCUGACUCAAUUUUCUUCUUCCAGAUUGUCAUUCUUAUACAUAUACACCUACUAGAGCUAUUUUUCAGGCCAGGACUCGGAGCAAGCUCAGGGGAGUCUGCUGAGCACAGGCCACAGUGGAGCCAUUAAAGGGGCACUGUCCCACAGUGAUAAGACAUCAACAGGAACUUACCAGGAGAAUGUAAUCCAGAGGGCACAUACAUGACACAGUACAGGAGAGAGUUGGGAGAAAUUUUUGGGAAAUUAGCAGAAGAGAACGAUUUAUUUUCAAAAAUAAUUCCUUUACAAAUAAAAGAUCUAAUCAAAGGAAGUGCUGAGAAAUACUGGCCUCUUGAACCCAGCAAUUACUCUGGGAGAAGACAUAAACACUCUGCAUUGGCUCAACCUGUUCUUCAUCCCCCCCAGAAAACAGAGUUCUGGGGCAGCUCUUUCAUUAAUAUUUCACUGUACAGCUUGCUAUGCAACCUGCAGCUUGAGGCCAGUUGUGUGGCCAUUCCUGUCCAUAAUGGCCUGAUUCACUCCAGCCCAUGUAAAUCAGUAAGAAAUAUUCUCACAGGGAAAAUGAGGUCCUGGAGAAGGCUCUGAAUACAGCAGAUAAAUCAGCAGUGAUGUUGGCAUUGCAUAAAGGGCAGGGUGAAUAAUAAUAGCAACAAAGAACUCCCAGCAUCCUUAAAAUGUGGCAGGGGUUAGGCUUUGCCACCAAGACAGUUGUUCAGGAGAGAUUUAAAUAUUUUGAAGGAAAGCUCAGUAGAGCAAUCACGCAGGGAGCUACUAAAAGGCUCUGUUUCAGCUGUAGCCCUGAGUGUUGGGCUCUGGCUGAGAAUGCUGCCACAGAGCAUGGCCUCUUCAGCAUUUCACUCAUCUCCAAGCAUACACAUCCAAUAGUCCACCACCUUGUUGCAUGUGGUUCAAUCCAUACUGGUGGGCUGUGAAAACUGAAGC